rnacentral:rRNA from 1 species
CACGUAGGGACCAAGCGUUGUCCGGAUUUAUUGGGCGUAAAGAGCUCGUAGGCGGUUCCGUAAGUCGGAUGUGAAAACUCAGGGCUCAACCCUGAGACGCCAUCUGAUACUGCGGUGACUAGAGUCCGGUAGGGGAGCAUGGAAUUCCUGGUGUAGCGGUGGAAUGCGCAGAUAUCAGGAGGAACACCAAUGGCGAAGGCAGUGCUCUGGGCCGGAACUGACGCUGAGGAGCGAAAGCAUGGGGAGCAAACAGG